GUAGUCUCGCACAGAUGCAUAUCAAUAAGCGGAGGAAAAGAAACUAACAAGGAUUCCCCUAGUAACGGCGAGUGAAGCGGGGAAGAGCUCAAAUUUGAAAUCUUAAAGGGUUUCCCUUUACGAAUUGUAGUUUAAAGAAGUGUUUUCUGUUGAGGUUUUGGUAAAAGUUCUUUGGAAUAGGACAUCAUAGAGGGUGAGAAUCCCGUAUUUGACCUUUACUUUCAACUUUGUGAUACACUUUCAAAGAGUCGGAUUGUUUGGGAAUGCAGUCCAAAAUGGGUGGUAAAUUUCAUCUAAAGCUAAAUAUUGGCGAGAGACCGAUAGCGAACAAGUACCGUGAGGGAAAGAUGAAAAGAACUUUGAAAAGAGAGUUAAACAGUACGUGAAAUUGUCAAAAGGGAAGCGUUUGACACCAGUGUUGUUUUUCUGAAAAUCAAUUAAAGAACUGUUUAUGCUAAGCUGUUUAGACUUUAUCAGCUAUCUGUUUAGUUUUGAGCUUUUCUUUAAUGCACUUUUCAGUUAACAAGUCAACAUCAAUUUCUUUCGCUGUAAAAAAGCUUGAGGAAGGUGGCUUGAGAUUCGUCUUAAGUGUUUAUAGCCUCUUGCCUAUGCAGUCGGAGAGAUUGAGGUCUGCAGCGUAGAUCCUUCGGGGCUAAAUGCAUUUGUGCUAAGUUAUAGCAUUUUAUAGACAACUUGUUGACUAUGAUUUGUCUUGUAGCUUACUCGCUUAUGUUAUUUUACCUACGCUUAGGAUGUUGACAGCAGUAUAGACUG
rnacentral:rRNA from 1 species